rnacentral:rRNA from 1 species
CCUACGGGGUGCAGCAGUAGGGAAUCUUUCACAAUGGGCGAAAGCCUGAUGGAGCAACGCCGCGUGCAGGAUGAAGGCCUUCGGGUUGUAAACUGCUUUUAUAAGCGAGAAAUAUGAUGGUAACUUAUGAAUAAGGAUCGGCUAACUACGUGCCAGCAGCCGCGGUCAUACGUAGGAUCCGAGCAUUAUCCGGAGUGACUGGGUGUAAAGAGUUGCGUAGGUGGCAUAAUAAGUAGCUAGUGAAAUCUGGUGGCUCAACCAUUCAGACUAUUAGCUAAACUGUUAAGCUCGAGACCGUUAGGGGUAACUGGAAUUUCAAGUGUAGGAGUGAAAUCCGUAGAUAUUAGAAGGAACACCAAUAGCGUAGGCAGGUUGCUGGGACGGUUCUGACACUAAGGCACGAAAGCGUAGGGAGCAAACGGGAUUAGAUACCCGGGUAGUC